rnacentral:rRNA from 1 species
AUUGAACGCUGGCGGCAUGCCUUACACAUGCAAGUCGAACGGUAACAGGUCUUCGGAUGCUGACGAGUGGCGAACGGGUGCGUAAUACAUCGGAACGUGCCCGAUCGUGGGGGAUAACGAGGCGAAAGCUUUGCUAAUACCGCAUACGAUCUACGGAUGAAAGCGGGGGAUCUUCGGACCUCGCGCGGCCGGAGCGGCCGAUGGCAGAUUAGGUAGUUGGUGGGAUAAAAGCUUACCAAGCCGACGAUCUGUAGCUGGUCUGAGAGGAUGAUCAGCCACACUGGGACUGAGACACGGCCCAGACUCCUACGGGAGGCAGCAGUGGGGAAUUUUGGACAAUGGGCGAAAGCCUGAUCCAGCCAUGCCGCGUGCAGGAUGAAGGCCUUCGGGUUGUAAACUGCUUUUGUACGGAACGAAAAGCCUCUUUCUAAUAAAGAGGGGUCAUGACGGUACCGUAAGAAUAAGCACCGGCUAACUACGUG